AAAUAAUCAGUAAUUAGAAAUUCAGUUGACGAAAAGGAAAUAUUUUGGUGGUUCUGCUUAGGUUAGAGUGUGGAAAGAUAAACAUUCUGCAUGAAUUUCUUUGUAACAAAGGUAAAGGGUCAUGUUUUCUUAACUGAGUUACUGAGAUUAUUUAUUUUGUUUCCUAAGCAGAUGCUGUAUAUGACCUGCCUUGUUCCACUGAAGACCAGUUACUAGAACAUGUUGAGGGACAGUCUGUGGCAUGUAAUGGACAUUGCAAGUUCCCCUUUUCAUCCAGAACUUUUUUGAGUUUCAAAUUUGACCAUAAUGCUAUAAUGAAAAUCUUGGACCUUUGAUAGCAACAGAUGUAUUAUAGAAGUCCCAAGCCAAGAUCAGAGACCUGUUGUAUUUGAGCGGGUGUCUCCUCAAGCCUUACCUUUCUCAGGUGUUUUAAAGAAAUGCAGGGAGGCAGUGUUUCUGAAAGGAUUUUCUGUGCAGAAGAGUAGAAAGAAGCAUGAGUUUGCACUGUAAAUGCAGUUAUAAUCUUUUAAACAGUUUUACCUUUUCAGUGUUUGAAACAAGUGUAAUUUUUUUUUUUGGAGGACUUUUUUUUUUUUUUUCUGUGUGACUGGGUCUUAUUUUUUCUGGUCAAGAAAAUAGUGUUUGAGAAAUCAAUUAGCCCAGGUAAUGGGAAUGCUUCAUCUACCCAUUACAGUGAUUGCAAUAAUCGUUUACUUGUAUUGAAAUUUUUAAAAAGAAACUUAACAUAUCCAAUUAUUAAAUGAACAUACAAGCUAAAAUGUCUCAGAUGUUGAGAUUGCAAGCCAUCUGUCUUGGUGGCAUUUUAUUUCUUUGCUUCUGACCACUGAGGCUAAUUCCCCUUUGCUUAGAGUUUUGUUGAAAGGAGUUAUUCAGAGCCAACAUCUUUAAUAUAAUAUUCAUGUGCAAAAUGAACUCAUAGCACUUCAUAAGGAUAAAAUUGGCAGCUUGGAGGAGGGAUUCAGUUGAUGGGGAGUUGAUGCUGUAAUUUUGAGUUGUGCUGGAUACAUUCAAUAAACCUGUGAGUGCUGGAGCAGAAAGCAAGGAGGCAAGGGCCCAGACAUUUUAAUGCUUGGAGAAUGACUGUAAGUAUAUACCCUUUAAGUGAUUCUGUCUAUAGUAGUGAUAAAGUUCUUACUGCUUUUUGAUUAAUUGUCAAAACAUUUAGGGAGAACUAAAAAGGAACCCAAAGUACCAGUGGGGUUUAUCUUGGAGUUUAAAGAAUUUGAAACAUUUAGAGCAGAUUUGUUGUUUCUGGAUUUAUUUUACUCUGAGGUUCAACAAUAGCUUUGUUUUUUCCUUCAGUGUUAAUGAAAGGAAAAGGACUGAAUUUCACUUAUAUUGAGUAUAACUGUCAUAAAUAAAAGAUUUCUGAGACUCAUGUUUGUGAGUUGGAGUUUGUUUGCAGGAGCAUUGUACUUCCAAAGAUGUGUUUGUUUUCUGUACCUUCCAUUGAGAAAAUGAAUUGAUGACUUAAUAGUUAUUAUGCUCUAAUUUUUGAAAGUAUUUUGAUGUAAAUUAGAAAUUGAAAACCUUACUAUAAAAACCAAUAAUGAAGGUUACUCAUAUACUGGCUUUCUGUAAAACAUUAGGCUAUUUGUAAAACAAUACCAAUAAAAUUGGCUCUUUGAGCAGUUUUAGUUACUUCCUUGUUUCUGCUGUUAAUUGUUACUGUAGAAUCCGAGUUUUCAUUUUGGACCAAUGAAAAUCGAUGAAUAUAGGAUAUAUAUAAAAUAAGGUUAUGUUUACAUAAUGGGAAGAAAUAUUAAAUGUUCAAUGUCUCUGCAAAAAUGAAAAUGGAAAACUUGUGUUUAUUUCUCAUUUUAAACCACAGUUUUUUUACUUUAAAGCAAGAUUAUAGUGGCAGGCUGGAGAUGUGAACCUGCUAAUGUACAAUUCAUCAGUUCUUUAAAUAUGUGCUAGAACCAGGCUUUGCGAUAAAAUGAUUGUCCUUGGAUCCCAGGGGAGAAAGAAAUAUAUUCUCUGUUAAAGACCUCAGUUAUAUGAUGUAGACUAGUGUAUAAUGCUGUUAUUAUCAAAGGUACUUUGCUCCUGUAGUGAAAAAUUGAUACAUGCUAUAAAGCUGCUUCCUAUCUUGUAGGCAUAGUCUUGUAUGACUUCCUUGUACUUUUAGUUCUGUGUUAUCAUCCCUGUACCAGUAAUCUUUAAAAGGGAAAAGAGAUCCUUCAGUAGAUGAUUUUGGCAUAAAUGGAAAGUCAACGAAGUAGCUAAAUAAUAAAAUUUGGUGAUAAACAAUG